CCCCAGGCUUUCAGGUGCAGUUCUUCCCAGAGUGCCCUCUUGGCAUCUGCUUUUAUCACACUAGUGAAAAAAAAACCCUCACUGAAAUCAACCACAACACAUCUUAAAUGUAACCUCUCAUUUCCUGUUUUGAAGUUAGAAAUUUCUGUUCCCUUGCAGGAAAAAGCCUGCAGGACCCAUGGCAAGUGUAUUUAUCAAUGAAAACACAGCUUCUAGAGUGUUUUCACCACAACUUCCUGGACGCUAAUGUGACCAGCAAAGCGACAAUGUGGCCUUGUGAAUUACCGAGAGACCUUCUAAAACAGCAGCAUUGAGUGCAACAGCAGCAAACAUGGGCUGGACCUGAGUGCCAGCAGUAUCUCAAACCCCUGCAUUUGGACUCCCAGAUCCUGUCUGUUGGUGGUCUCAGCAAGGAGGAAGUGGCAGCACAGAUUUCAGAGCAGGAAGGAUGCCAAGAACAAGCACCUCAGGGAUCUGGAAUGCAUACUGUGUGUACUGUACACUGCAAAAUAACACCCUGGCUAAUAAAGCAGACCAUGCGUCAACAGGAGCUACUAAUUUUCUAAUGUAAUAUGACUUUAACAUAUGGUAAAGAGAAAUGAAGAGUAACUGAAAUUUUUGAGCAAAGAUUACUUCCUUAGUGCAAGAAAAGUACC
rnacentral:lncRNA from 1 species